UUGAACGCUGGCGGCAGGCCUAACACAUGCAAGUCGAACGGUAACAGGAAACAGCUUGCUGUUUCGCUGACGAGUGGCGGACGGGUGAGUAAUGUCUGGGAAACUGCCUGAUGGAGGGGGAUAACUACUGGAAACGGUAGCUAAUACCGCAUAAUGUCGCAAGACCAAAGAGGGGGACCUUCGGGCCUCUUGCCAUCGGAUGUGCCCAGAUGGGAUUAGCUAGUAGGUGGGGUAACGGCUCACCUAGGCGACGAUCCCUAGCUGGUCUGAGAGGAUGACCAGCCACACUGGAACUGAGACACGGUCCAGACUCCUACGGGAGGCAGCAGUGGGGAAUAUUGCACAAUGGGCGCAAGCCUGAUGCAGCCAUGCCGCGUGUAUGAAGAAGGCCUUCGGGUUGUAAAGUACUUUCAGCGGGGAGGAAGGGAGUAAAGUUAAUACCUUUGCUCAUUGACGUUACCCGCAGAAGAAGCACCGGCUAACUCCGUGCCAGCAGCCGCGGUAAUACGGAGGGUGCAAGCGUUAAUCGGAAUUACUGGGCGUAAAGCGCACGCAGGCGGUUUGUUAAGUCAGAUGUGAAAUACCCGGGCUCAACCUGGGAACUGCAUCUGAUACUGGCAAGCUUGAGUCUCGUAGAGGGGGGUAGAAUUCCAGGUGUAGCGGUGAAAUGCGUAGAGAUCUGGAGGAAUACCGGUGGCGAAGGCGGCCCCCUGGACGAAGACUGACGCUCAGGUGCGAAAGCUUGGGGAGCAAACAGGAUGAGAUACCCUGGUAGUCCACGCCGUAAACGAUGUCGACUUGGAGGUUGUGCCCUUGAGGCGUGGCUUCCGGAGCUAACGCGUUAAGUCGACCGCCUGGGGAGUACGGCCGCAAGGUUAAAACUCAAAUGAAUUGACGGGGGCCCGCACAAGCGGUGGAGCAUGUGGUUUAAUUCGAUGCAACGCGAAGAACCUUACCUGGUCUUGACAUCCACAGAACUUUCCAGAGAUGGAUUGGUGCCUUCGGGAACUGUGAGACAGGUGCUGCAUGGCUGUCGUCAGCUCGUGUUGUGAAAUGUUGGGUUAAGUCCCGCAACGAGCGCAACCCUUAUCCUUUGUUGCCAGCGGUCCGGCCGGGAACUCAAAGGAGACUGCCAGUGAUAAACUGGAGGAAGGUGGGGAUGACGUCAAGUCAUCAUGGCCCUUACGACCAGGGCUACACACGUGCUACAAUGGCGCAUACAAAGAGAAGCGACCUCGCGAGAGCAAGCGGACCUCAUAAAGUGCGUCGUAGUCCGGAUUGGAGUCUGCAACUCGACUCCAUGAAGUCGGAAUCGCUAGUAAUCGUGGAUCAGAAUGCCACGGUGAAUACGUUCCCGGGCCUUGUACACACCGCCCGUCACACCAUGGGAGUGGGUUGCAAAAGAAGUAGGUAGCUUAACCUUCGGGAGGGCGCUUACCACUUUGUGAUUCAUGACUGGGGUG
rnacentral:rRNA from 1 species